rnacentral:rRNA from 1 species
AAGUGGCGCACGGGUGAGUAACGCGUGGAUAAUCUACCCUUUAGUCUGGAAUAACUUAUCGAAAGGUGAACUAAUACCGGAUAAUAUCCCGAUUUCUUCGGCGAUCGGGAUCAAAGAAGGCCUCUGCUUGCAAGCUUUCACUGAAGGAUGAGUCCGCGUACCAUUAGCUAGUUGGCAGGGUAAUGGCCUACCAAGGUUAUGAUGGUUAGCUGGUCUGAGAGGAUGAUCAGCCACACUGGAACUGAAACACGGUCCAGACUCCUACGGGAGGCAGCAGUGAGGAAUAUUGCGCAAUGGGGGCAACCCUGACGCAGCAACGCCGCGUGAGUGAGGAAGGUUUUCGGAUUGUAAAGCUCUGUCGAGCGGAAAGAAGUGCAUGGUGGUUAAUAUCCAUCAUGCUUGACGGUACCGCUAAAGGAAGCACCGGCUAACUCCGUGCCAGCAGCCGCGGUAAUACGGGGGGUGCAAGCGUUGUUCGGAAUCAUUGGGCGUAAAGCGCGUGUAGGCGGCUGGACAAGUCAGAUGUGAAAGCCCUGGGCUUAACCCAGGAAGUGCAUUUGAAACUG